rnacentral:rRNA from 1 species
GACGAACGCUGGCGGCGCGCUUGACACAUGCAAGUCGAGCGAGAACCCAGGCUUCGGCCUGGGGGAAAGCGGCGAACGGGUGAGUAUCACGUGGGUAAUCUGCCCUCGGCAUCGGGAUAGCCCGGGGAAACCCGGACUAAUACCGAAUGGCUCAUCCGCUCUUCGGAGCGGCUGGAAAAGGUAGCUUCGGCCUCCGGCCGAGGAGGAGCCCGUGGCGGAUUAGCUUGUUGGUGGGGUAACGGCUCACCAAGGCAACGAUCCGUAGCUGGUCUGAGAGGACGAUCAGCCACACUGGGACUGAGACACGGCCCAGACUCCUACGGGAGGCAGCAGUGGGGAAUCUUGCGCAAUGGGCGAAAGCCUGACGCAGCGACGCCGCGUGCGGGAAGAAGGCCUUCGGGUUGUAAACCGCUUUCAGGAGGGACGAAGCCACUCAGGUUAAUAGCCGAGAGGGUGACGGUACCUCCAGAAGAAGCCCCGGCUAACUACGUGCCAGCCGCCGCAGUAACAC